rnacentral:rRNA from 1 species
UGGGGAAUUUUGGACAAUGGGCGAAAGCCUGAUCCAGCAAUGCCGCGUGUGUGAAGAAGGCCUUCGGGUUGUAAAGCACUUUUGUCCGGAAAGAAAUCCUUGGCUCUAAUACAGUCGGGGGGAUGACGGUACCGGAAGAAUAAGCACCGGCUAACUACGUGCCAGCAGCCGCGGUAAUACGUAGGGUGCAAGCGUUAAUCGGAAUUACUGGGCGUAAAGCGUGCGCAGGCGGUUUGCUAAGACCGAUGUGAAAUCCCCGGGCUCAACCUGGGAACUGCAUUGGUGACUGGCAGGCUAGAGUAUGGCAGAGGGGGGUAGAAUUCCACGUGUAGCAGUGAAAUGCGUAGAGAUGUGGAGGAAUACCGAUGGCGAAGGCAGCCCCCUGGGCCAAUACUGACGCUCAUGCACGAAAGCGUGGGGGAGCAAACAGGAUUAGAUACCCUGGUAGUCCACGCCCUAAACGAUGUCAACUAGUUGUUGGGGAUUCAUUUCCUUAGUAACGUAGCUAACGCGUGAAGUUGACCGCCUGGGGAGUACGGUCGC